AUCUGGCUCAGGAUGAACGCUAGCUACAGGCUUAACACAUGCAAGUCGAGGGGCAGCAUGUGGUUGCUGCAACCAAUGAUGGCGACCGGCGCACGGGUGAGUAACGCGUAUCCAACCUUCCCCUUAGUAGAGGAUAGCCCGGCGAAAGUCGGAUUAAUACUCUAUGUUCUUCAAUGCGGACAUCUAAGUUGAAGCAAAGAUUUAUCGCUAAGGGAUGGGGAUGCGUCUGAUUAGGUUGCAGGCGGGGUAACGGCCCACCUGGCCUACGAUCAGUAGGGGUUCUGAGAGGAAGGUCCCCCACACUGGUACUGAGACACGGACCAGACUCCUACGGGAGGCAGCAGUGAGGAAUAUUGGUCAAUGGGCGCGAGCCUGAACCAGCCAAGUAGCGUGCAAGGACGACUGCCCUAUGGGUUGUAAACUGCUUUUAUCAGGGAAUAAAGUGAGGCACGCGUGCCUUUUUGUAUGUACCUGAUGAAUAAGGACCGGCUAAUUCCGUGCCAGCCGCGGC
rnacentral:rRNA from 1 species